rnacentral:rRNA from 1 species
UACGUAGGGGGCUAGCGUUGUCCGAAUUUAUUGGGCGUAAAGAGCGUGUAGGCGGCCAGGUAGGUCUGGUGUGAAAACUCGAGGCUUAACCUCGAGAUGUCAUCGGAAACCAUCUGGCUAGAGUCCGGAAGAGGAGAGUGGAAUUCCUGGUGUAGCGGUGAAAUGCGCAGAUAUCAGGAAGAACACCAAUGGCGAAAGCAGCUCUCUGGGACGGUACUGACGCUGAGGAGCGAAAGCAUGGGGAGCGAACAGG